GGGCCCGCACAAGCGGUGGAGCAUGUGGUUUAAUUCGAUGCAACGCGAAGAACCUUACCUACUCUUGACAUCCAGAGAAGCCAGCGGAGACGCAGGUGUGCCUUCGGGAGCUCUGAGACAGGUGCUGCAUGGCUGUCGUCAGCUCGUGUUGUGAAAUGUUGGGUUAAGUCCCGCAACGAGCGCAACCCUUAUCCUUGUUUGCCAGCACGUAAUGGUGGGAACUCCAGGGAGACUGCCGGUGAUAAACCGGAGGAAGGUGGGGACGACGUCAAGUCAUCAUGGCCCUUACGAGUAGGGCUACACACGUGCUACAAUGGCGCAUACAGAGGGCAGCAAGCUAGCGAUAGUAAGCGAAUCCCAAAAAACGUUUCGUAGUCCGGAUUGGAGUCUGCAACUCGACUCCAUGAAGUCGGAAUCGCUAGUAAUCG
rnacentral:rRNA from 1 species